GGAUCGGAGUCUGCAACCCGACUCCGUGAAGCUGGAUUCGCUAGUAAUCGCGCAUCAGCCAUGGCGCGGUGAAUACGUUCCCGGGCCUUGUACACACCGCCCGUCAAGCCAUGGAAGCCGGGGGGUGCCUGAAGUGUGCAGCCGCAAGGAGCGCCCUAAGGUAAAACCGGUGACUGGGGCUAAGUCGUAACAAGGUAUC
rnacentral:rRNA from 1 species